GACAGAGGAUGCAAGCGUUAUCCGGAAUGAUUGGGCGUAAAGCGUCUGUAGGUGGCUUUUUAAGUCCGCCGUCAAAUCCCAGGGCUCAACCCUGGACAGGCGGUGGAAACUACCAAGCUGAGUACGGUAGGGGCAGGAGGGAAUUUCCGGGUUGGGAGCGGUGAAAUGACGUAGAGAUCGGAAAGAACACCAACGGCGAAAGCACUCUGCUGGGCCGACACUGACACUGAGAGACGAAAGCUAGGGGAGCGAAUGGG
rnacentral:rRNA from 1 species